ACAAAGAAGAGUUUGAUCCUGGCUCAGGAUGAACGCUAGCGGCAGGCUUAACACAUGCAAGUCGAGGGGCAGCGAGGGUAGCAAUACCU
rnacentral:rRNA from 1 species